rnacentral:rRNA from 1 species
UGAACGCUAGCGGCAGGCCUAAUACAUGCAAGUCGAGGGGUAAGGCUCUUUCGGGAGUACACGACCGGCGCACGGGUGCGUAACGCGUAUGCAACCUACCCACAACUGGGGGAUAGCUCGGAGAAAUCCGGAUUAAUACCCCAUAAUGCAGGGGUUCCGCAUGGAACUAUUUGCUAAAGAUUUAUUGGUUGUGGAUGGACAUGCGUCUGAUUAGUUAGUUGGUGAGGUAACGGCUCACCAAGACGAUGAUCAGUAGGGGGUCUGAGAGGAUGAUCCCCCACACUGGUACUGAGAUACGGACCAGACUUCUACGGGAGGCAGCAGUAGGGAAUAUUGGUCAAUGGGCGAAAGCCUGAACCAGCCAUGCCGCGUGCAGGAUGACGGCCUUCUGGGUUGUAAACUGCUUUUAUCAGGGAAGAAAAGGGCACUGCGGUGCACAUUGACGGUACCUGAAGAAUAAGCACCGGCUAACUCC